GUUCUUGUAGUUGAGUUACAACAAUGAUUUUUCAUAUCAUAGGCCGCGAAAAUUUUCGUGUAAGAAUU
rnacentral:tRNA from 1 species